AGCAGCAUUGGGUUCCCGGGGAAGCUCCACUCCCAGGCAUAUCAACGCUGGUUGGUGGUUUUGAAAGGCUCCUUAAUGAUGUCAUGGGUUGUCCGUCCACUCACAUGAAGCCUGACCGGGAGGUGGGCUUUGCUGUGCUCCCCCUCCGUCUGCAGACACGGCUGUGGGGGGAUUCUCACCCACAGGCGAGAAGCACCCACAGGCAAGAAGUGCAGGGUGGCCUGUGGAUGCCUGAGAAGCACCCACAGGAGGCAUGACGGAACUGUACCACUUGAGAUGCUAUUUCUCCUAAGUGCUCUGGAGUGAGGGAAUUCCAUUUUGCACAGGUGGAAGAAUCUGGAAGUAGAUUCUUGAUAAACUGUGGCUCAGGAAGGCCAUGUUAUCAGCCAGGGUCACGAGUGUGGCGGCGUCCUUCAGCCAGAGCUGAGAGAGACUGGGUCAUGGGACUCAGUGACGGAAGAUUCUGGCAGGACCAUGUCCGCUCUGGACCAGAGAAGCCUCGCCAGCCACGACCACGUCUUCAGCUUACCUAUUUGGUAUUUGUAGGAAGGACUCCCAUGCACGGACUCCCACUGUAUCCCUCAUAAACAGACAACAUGUGAGUGCCUUUGCAGAAGAGAGUGUGUCUGAGAGCAGCCGGGUCAGCCAGGAGCUGUCGCCAGGAGACGCCUCCUCUCUGUCCCUUGCUGUCUGCUGAUCACCGCUGGAGGUGCUGCGUUCUGAGCUGGUUUGUCCCCCAGUAGUUUUUGUGUUUCACUUGGCAAGGAAAGGGGAGGAAGGAACCUUCUUCUGAGUCAUUUCACGGCUGGUGGUUUUUUCACAGAAAGACGUGUCUUUGUUGCUCUUGUUUAAACGUCGGCGUGCAGGUCCACACGGCACCUGCCCAUGGUUCCCUUGCCUCAUUCCUGAGCAUCUCAGGUAGAAGGUGACACAGCUGCAGGUGAGGAAGGCCUGUGGGAGAACUCGGAAGACCCCUGCCCCGUGGCGUGUGGCAGUCUGUUGUCAUCGGUGCACAGCGGACGAUUUUCACAUCUAGCUCCUGGUUCCGUAACCUUGUGUACUUGAAGUCCAACAAGAUGAAGGAAGUCAGUUUCCUUGCAGUGAUUUUAAGUUGUGAUGGAGUUUUAAGUUGAUAUGAGGGAACGUGUCCUAAUUCUUCUGUCCUGGGAAGCAUGUAAUUUUAAUGUUCCAUUCCAUGUGUGUAUAUGUGUAUAUAUAUAUAUAAAUAUGCAGUAUGUAUAUACAUAUAUAUGAAUACAGGUAUUUUUACUUAAUCUAUAAAAUGUAGUAAAAAGAUGUUGGUUUCUCACUUCUCUUUUUUUUCUUUUCCC